AGAUUGAACGCUGGCGGCAUGCCUUACACAUGCAAGUCGAACGGCAGCACGGGAGCAAUCCUGGUGGCGAGUGGCGAACGGGUGAGUAAUACAUCGGAACGUGCCCAAUCGUGGGGGAUAACUACGCGAAAGCGUAGCUAAUACCGCAUAAGAUCUAUGGAUGAAAGCAGGGGAUCGCAAGACCUUGCGCGAAUGGAG
rnacentral:rRNA from 1 species